GAGCAGGGUUGCUCUUGCCCGCUGCGGAGAAUGAUUCAUAGAGGAGGGUCAGGAGAGAACAGCUCAGCCUGUGGAAGCGCGCUGCAAAGACUAGACUCUUCUCCGAGGCUGGGAAACCGAGAACCCGCAGGGCCCUGGGCCUGACCCCCGCCUCAGGCCGUUCGCCCUAGGCCUCCUCCGAGUCCUAGGCCUGGUCAGGGGCGGCCGCGAGGCAGCGGUUGCUGGGGGAGCGGUGACGUCGCGGGGUGAAAGUUGAGGGGCGGUGACGUCGGGCCUGCCCGGGCGGAGGCUGGCGGGCUGGAGACUGGAGGGAGGGAGGGAAGGAGGGAAGGAAGGAAGCUGGGAAGGAGCGAGCGGGCGAGCGGGGGCGCGAGGCGUUUACCUGGAGGCAGCGGCUCGGGCGCGCACGGUGGCCGCGGCUCCCCCGCACCUGCGGCCAUGGAUGAGGAGCGCGCCCUCUACAUCGUCCGGGCCGGCGAGGCGGGGGCUAUCGAGCGGGUCCUGAGGGAUUACAGCGACAAGCAUAGGGCUACUUUCAAAUUUGAACCAACAGAUGAAGAUAAAAGAAAGAAACUCUGCGAAGGCAUAUUUAAAGUCCUUGUAAAGGACGUCCCAACAACAUGUCAAGUGUCCUGCCUGGAAGUACUCCGCAUUCUCUCCAGAGACAAAAAGAUUUUAGUUCCUGUAACAACUAAGGAAAAUAUGCAGAUACUGCUGAGACUAGCCAAGCUAAAUGAGUCGGAUGAUUCCUUGGAGAAGGUGUCAGAGUUCCCAGUUAUUGUGGAAUCAUUAAAAUGUCUGUGUAACAUCGUGUUUAACAGUCAGAUGGCACAGCAGCUCAGCCUGGAACUUAAUCUUGCUGCAAAGCUCUGUAACCUCCUGAGAAAGUGCAAGGACCGAAAAUUUAUCAACGACAUUAAGUGCUUUGACUUGCGCUUGCUCUUCCUCUUGUCCCUUUUGCAUACCGACAUCAGAACACAAUUGCGCUAUGAGCUCCAGGGACUACCGCUGCUAACCCAGAUUUUGGAAAGUGCCUUUAGCAUCAAGUGGACCGAUGAGUAUGAAUCGGCCAUAGACCAUAAUGGACCUCCUCUCUCACCUCAGGAGACAGACUGUGCCAUUGAAGCUCUCAAAGCUCUCUUCAAUGUGACAGUAGACAGUUGGAAGGUGCAUAAAGAGAGUGAUUCUCAUCAGUUCCGUGUCAUGGCAGCUGUCCUUCGCCAUUGUUUACUAAUCGUAGGUCCAACUGAAGACAAAACAGAAGAAUUGCACAGCAAUGCAGUCAACCUUUUAAGCAAUGUUCCGGUCUCUUGUCUGGAUGUUCUCAUUUGUCCAUUAACCCAUGAAGAAACAGCCCAAGAGGCAACAACUCUAGAUGAACUGCCCAGUGAUAAAACAACUGAGAAAGAAACGAUUUUGAAAAACAAUACCAUGGUAUACAAUGGUAUGAAUAUGGAGGCCAUUCAUGUUUUACUCAAUUUUAUGGAGAAGAGAAUAGACAAGGGAAGCAGCUAUAGAGAAGGUCUGACUCCAGUUCUCAGCCUGUUAACAGAAUGUUCUCGAGCCCAUCGGAACAUCAGAAAAUUUCUCAAAGAUCAGGUCUUACCACCUUUGAGGGAUGUGACAAAUCGACCUGAAGUUGGCUCCACUGUGAGAAAUAAGCUGGUGCGCCUCAUGACACACGUUGACCUUGGAGUCAAGCAAAUUGCUGCUGAAUUCCUUUUUGUCCUUUGCAAAGAAAGAGUGGAUAGCCUGCUGAAAUACACUGGCUAUGGGAAUGCUGCAGGACUCUUGGCGGCCAGGGGCCUCUUGGCUGGAGGAAGAGGAGAUAAUUGGUACUCAGAAGAUGAGGACACAGACACUGAAGAAUACAAAAAUGCAAAACCAAACAUUAAUCUUAUCACUGGUCAUUUAGAGGAACCAAUGCCAAACCCUAUAGAUGAAAUGACAGAAGAACAAAAAGAAUAUGAAGCCAUGAAACUUGUCAACAUGCUUGAUAAACUUUCCAGACCCUGUCAUUAAUUCCAUGUGUCAAUACUGCCCUGUAGUACACAGAGCAGACAAGAAAGAAGAGCCCUUGAAAACAAGGGAAUGAUUUUUGAGUCGUUAUCAAGCUAAGUGUCAAGCGGGAAGCUGAAACUCGUAUAGGUAAAUUCGAAGGGACUCUUGGGAGAUCUGCAAGUGGGAAACAAGAAUGCAUUUUACCAACUGCUUAAUUAUGUCCUGUUUUUCAACAAGUACACUUGAAUUGAAUGCUUUGUUUGUCCUGCACAAACACAUGUGCUGUGAGCAGGAGUAUUCUCUUGCUUCCAGGUCAAGUAAGGUGUUUUAUACACAUCUCUGACCUACUCUAUAAUGUGCGAUUGGGUAUUAGUAUCUGAGCCCCAAUACUGCACUGUCAUUUGUGGGAGAACGAAUCACAUAGGAGCCAGAAGCCCUAAAAAGUGUGACCUUCUCUGAGGUUCUGAGAAGUUACACGAGCCCAGGCAUCCCAGAGUACCAUACUUACAGGAAAAAUGGUAACUCGGGAAAACGUCAAAAUACAUCUGGGGAAAGAAAGAAAAAAAGCAGACCAGAAAAGGUUAAAUAUGUAUAAAUCCCAUACUAUCCCAUCCCUAGAUCUUUAAGAAAGUUGGGUUUUUUGUUUGUUUGUUUUUUGUUUGUUUUUUGGUUUCCAUUAGCCCUCCCAAGGGUUAGACUGGGGCAAAAUAGGGUUUCCUUUCUUGGACGUGCUUUAUCUGUGUCCUCUUGUCUGGCCAAGCCCUUAGAGAUUAUGGUUCCUUAUCGUUUAGUAAGAUCAAAUUUCUAAAUGAUGUUUCGUUCCAGUUGAACAUUCUUGGAGGCUUAUCUCUUCCCUGGCCAGAUGCCUGAUCAGAUGAGAAGCCCGCCAUGAUACUGUCACAGUGCCUAGAAUGGGCUCUUUAUCCAGUAGACAUCACUGUACUUUUUGAUGAUAACGAGGGCAGUCUUAACUUAUGUUAAGGCCUGUGUAUAGCAUUGAAGAGAGGAGUUGCUUAAGCCAAUGGGACUGAAACCUGACGGGACAAUAACGCCCUUGGAGGAGGCACUCAGCCAGUACUCUGUCAUCGAAGAAACCAGCUCGGACACAGACUAAAAGCGUCAUCACCUGCUCAACUUCCAAUAUUGCUUUUAUUGGCAUCCUUUUUCUGUAGCUCCAGGAGAAUCUUUUCUCUACAACAUUUAUGCCCUUGCUUUGGCUAGAAACACAUUAACUGGUUUACUCAUUGAGAAUCCAGCCUAUUUCAGAGGUGAUCUUGUGUUUUCUGCGAUAUUGAGGCAUUCAUACAGAGCUGCAGUUAGGCAGAGUCCUAGGGGCUAGAAGCAGAGCAGUAAUUCCAUUUCAUCAGGAUGCAACGGAGGACUCCUUUCUGUAAAGCAGCCCUGGGCCAAUCUGGCAGUCCUGGUUGCCAAGAUUCCUAGCCGAAGACACAGCCAUGUCCUUCCUCACUCGCGUGAGCGAGCUCUCCCACGUCUCUCCAGCAGCCAGAGGCAGGCGAGAGCAGAACGAAUGAGCUGGCAAACAAGGGCUGAGGCGAGUGGUUCCUUAGGUCCAGACUGACCGCACGGAAGCCAAGCAGCUGCUCUGUAAACCCCUAGUCCCACUCUUCAUUUCAAUUUUCUAUAAAUAUGGAAACACACACACAAGCACACACAGAGCCCCAGACUUACAAACUUAGUUACACUCUAAAAGUUUGUAUGUCGUGUGGCUACAACUUCAGAAUACUUUACUCCCUAGAAGGAGUUCUAACCGAUGGUUUCGUUCCAGGCAGCUACCUAUGCCUAUUUAUUCCCUUAUGUUCCUGAACACUAGUACCGUAGAACUGGACCGCCAUCCGCAUCGUUGCACUGGGAGUGUGCGUGCCGAGGUCAGCUCGGGGCGCCAGGAGCAGACCCGUCCACUAGCCCAGCAGAGAUG